rnacentral:sRNA from 1 species
CCAAUUAUGACAUAGUCACCUUUGCGAGAAGUUUUAUGGGCGGUGUCUGUUCCCUCGAGAUGAGGUGGUUCCAAUGAGCUAUUCUUCAGAAAGGAUUACGGCCCGUGAGCGUCUACCAGACACUCAUGCUAGCGUUAGCAUUUGCGACUUUCAUCGUUGCAUUACUAACUUUAUUUUCA